UUAUUUUUCACUGGUCCUCUUGUGUACAAGGGUGAUUAGAAUUACAGAAGGAAACGUCGUUGCCGACGGAAAUUUUCUUCUACGCGUACCAUCGCGGUUUUACGCGCAGAUGCACAAUCCCUUUCCAUCGGUAAAUCAGAAUACAGAGCCGGUGCGAUUCGAUGCAUAGCGACCUUAGCAACGAGAUCAACGACGUCGCGGAUGUUAUUGUUUAUGUUCAGUCUGAUUCUGUCAGCUGUUGAGAACAGUUGUGUUUACCCAAUAAACAAUAAGUUUUCUUAAAGUGCUCUUUUAGAUGACUUUCUAUAGCUUACAGGUCCUUGAAAGAUGCGACGACCGGAGCUACUCCAGCUGAGAUGCAAUUCGAGGGUGUCUAACACAGGAGGUCGAGAUUAAAGGAGACGGAGACUAGGUGCACAGGCUUCGGAUUAACUUACGAUCGGAAAAGACGAAGUCUUGGUAUGACAAAGGAGCUCUCAACGUUGAAUAUUCCCAAGGACAAAAAGUUUGGUUCUUCAAGCCUCGAAGAGCUAAAGGAAAAGCACCAAAACUACAGUCGAAUUGGGAAGGACCUUGGGAGGUUGUGAAUGUGUUCACCAAGCCAUAAAUCGAAGAUAGUCAAGAUCGAUCGUCUUGGGACUUAGACUGAGAGAGAUACCCAUCAAUGAAGAGUGCUCUGCUCACGCAGUGGUUUUGAGCAGUGGUUUUUCCCGUGGGCGUGAAGGUAAAUACCGGAGCCGGGACUUGGGUGAGGUUGAAGGAUGGAUGGUUAUGAUAUGGUUAUGAUAUGGUUAUGAUUGUCGGGACGAGAAUCUGCAAAGGAGAGGGCAAUGUUGUGAGCGAGCCUGACGAACGUUGCGCGAUUCGAAGAGCAAGAAUCGCGCAUAGCGAGUUUAGCAACGAGAUCGACGACGUCGCGGAUGUUAUUGUUUAUGUUCAGUCUGGUUCUGUCAGCUGAGUUGAGAACAGUUGCGUGUUUACGUUCGAAUAAAGAGUCCCGAGUUUAAGAGUGAUUUUCUAUAAA